rnacentral:rRNA from 1 species
UACAGAGGUCCCAAGCGUUGUUCGGAUUCACGGGGCGUAAAGGGUGCGCAGGUGGGUUUGCAAGUUUGAUGUGAAAGCCCCGGGCUUAACCCGGGAAUGGCAUUGAAUACUGCAGAUCUGGAGGAUUGGAGGGGGGACUGGAAUUCUUGGUGUAGCAGUGAAAUGCGUAGAUAUCAAGAGGAACACCAGUGGCGAAGGCGAGUCCCUGGACAAUUCCUGACACUGAGGCACGAAAGCUAGGGGAGCAAACAGG